UACAUUAUUGUUUAAACGGAACACGGCGCGGGACUCGCUUCUAAGCAACUCCUUCAGGAUUCAUUCGGGAGUCGUGAUUCCCGAGUCAGUCAAAAGAGUCGUUUAGAAGUCCAGCAUCCAGCAGCAUGACAAAUAUACAUAGGCUAUGUAAUGUCUUGAGGUUGUGUAUGAGAAAGUGUGUGUUGUUAGAGAAGGAUGAUGUCUGUCUGCUUCAUGUCUGGGCUUGACACCAGCUCGAACCCCAAACCUGCAGCAGUGUUAUGGAGCUCUUUGUGUUUUAUUGGUUCCUCUGCUGCAUUUGUUCAGAUGUUUGAUGGUUCUGGUGUCUCAUGAUGUUCCUCUGCAGGGUGUCUGUCAGUCAGGCGGUUUCUGUCAGUGUUUCUCAUGUUGUUUGUGACUCUCAGCGCUGAACAAGAAGAGAAUGAACUUCUGAAAUACAGCGACUCACAGCAGACCACAGGCCAGAUAUAAAGGAGUGUUUGACCUGGGGUCACGGUUGUGAUGUUAACGCUCGCUGUGGGAACAUCAUCGGCUCGUACUUCUGCCAGUGUCGUCAGGGAUACAGCAGAGACGGACACUCCUGCUACGAUGUGGAUGAAUGCACUCAGGAUAACAGACUCUGUGAACACGACUGCAUGAAUCAGCCAGGGACGUACAUCUGCGUCUGCAGAGCUGGGUACGCAGUCACUUAGUUACUAAAAGUAACUUUUAUUCUCGCUGUAGUAUUGUUGUCGU